rnacentral:lncRNA from 1 species
AAUGCAGAGGUGGGGGACAGAGUGGGUGGGGAGGGGAGCCGCCAUACAGUGGCCAGGACCAGCUUUGCCCAAGUGGUGGCAACCGCAUGACCACAGGAACGAUGGCGUGAGCCCCGUGGCAACCUGGAGGAAGGGGUGUGAGAAGAAAACAUUAGAACUUCUAUUUUGUACCUGUGUUACUCCACAACAAGAAAGCAAUCAGCUUGAUCAAUGCCUACUGUAAAGACGGCACCGCCCUCCGGAGGUCCUUUCUCAGCCCUGGUGUUCGGACAGCCACAUCCCCUCGCAGCAGGGGGAGGCCUGAAGCAUAGAGGGGCCCAUGCAGGUCUAUUCUGUUUCAGCGAAUUGCCUGGGAAAUAAUCCAGGAUCCAUUUCGUGUGGUCAUCUUGUCUCCCUGGUCCCCUCCAGCCUUUCCUCAUCUUUUGUGACCUGGUCACUCUGGAAGGGCGCUGGCCAGUUAGUCCACAGGAUGGGCCUCCCCUGGGGCUUUUCUGAUGCUUCCUUAUGAUGGCACUGGCAUCCUGAGGGGGAGGACCACAGAGAGGAGGUGCUCCUCAUCACACCACAUGGGGGUCCAUGCACCAGUGCCACUGCUUUCCAGGGCUCUUCACCUUCAUCACUGGUGGAGGUGGCGUCUGCCAAGAAGCAGAAAGUUGAGGCUUAGAAGGUGCACGGCCCUACCUCUUCCGAGGUGCCCCUGCGGGCUGUCUACAGACCAGGCAGCACAUGCCUGAUAGCAGCUGCAUAAGGAAAAGCAGGAGCCAGCUCGUGCACAGUGGCCUCAAGUGUGCACUGGGCAUGUUCUCUGCCUCACCAUCCCUGUGUGACAGAUGAAGCAUGGCAAGCCAGGCUCCAGAGAAGCAUCCUGAGGACCAGUGUUCCUAGGGACCUCAUUCUUCUGACCUCAUUCCUACAACGUUUUGUCACUGCAAAGGAAAUCACCAAGGCCAGCAUGACAGCCCUCAACAGAAGCCAAGGCCAAGUCCUCGAACUUCCUAGUCUGCACAAUGACAAGUGAGCUCAUGGAAACCUCUCCAUCGUUGACCAGGAUCUAUAGGAAAACCCUCCUCUUCUUCUAUAUGCAAAGGCUGCACAGCUCCUGGUUCACCUGCACCUCUCCAGACCACCAUGGUGCCUGCAGCUCUGAGGGCAUUUUAAAUCAUCACAGAACAACAAGCAUAUAAGCAUCAUGAGCGCCUCUGGACCUCUGACGUGCCUUGUGGAGGCCUGCCAGGCCCACGUUUUAAUUUACAUGAACUCGAUGCCCUUUUUGACAGGGAGAGAUCUGUUUCUUUAUUUGUUAGCCUUUCCCCUGGACCUGCUAGAUCUGGACCAUCCCCAGGAAAGGAAGGUCACACCACAAAGAUAAAUAUAAACAAAAUGAGUUAAUUAAGAA